AGACAUUACGCCCCUGCUAAAAUCGGUUUCCUAUUGAACAUACUUCUUUCCGUAAGAAAUAGUAUAGUUUGAUUACAUUUUAGGGUAUCUGAGGAGUAAAUAGACAUGUAUUUUGACUUGUGAACCAAAGUUUAGGGGUAGAUUUUUGGAUUCCUUUCUCUGCAUGUUGAACGAGUGGAUUACUCAAAUUGAUGGCGCCAACUAAACAGACUUUUUGGAAUAUAAAGAACUAUUUUAUCUAACAAAAUGACACUACAUGUUAUAGCUGGCACCCUUUGGAUGACAAAUCAGAAGAACAUUUUCAAAAGCACAAAGACCAGAACAACCCACUCCAGCCUACAUACAACCAUCUGAUAAGUGUCUCGAAGCCCAGAUGCCCAUCUUGAUUCUGUCAAGGUUACACUGAGCCUGUGAGUCUAUUCUGAAGAAGACUCUCGAAGCCCAGAUGCCCAUCUUGAUUCAGUCAAGGAUACACUGAGCCUGUGAGUCUACU
rnacentral:lncRNA from 1 species